UGGGGAAUAUUGCACAAUGGGCGCAAGCCUGAUGCAGCCAUGCCGCGUGUGUGAAGAAGGCCUUCGGGUUGUAAAGCACUUUCAGCGAGGAGGAAGGUGGUGAGCUUAAUACGCUCAUCAAUUGACGUUACUCGCAGAAGAAGCACCGGCUAACUCCGUGCCAGCAGCCGCGGUAAUACGGAGGGUGCAAGCGUUAAUCGGAAUUACUGGGCGUAAAGCGCACGCAGGCGGUUUGUUAAGUCAGAUGUGAAAUCCCCGGGCUCAACCUGGGAACUGCAUUUGAAACUGGCAAGCUAGAGUCUCGUAGAGGGGGGUAGAAUUCCAGGUGUAGCGGUGAAAUGCGUAGAGAUCUGGAGGAAUACCGGUGGCGAAGGCGGCCCCCCUGGACGAAGACUGACGCUCAGGUGCGAAAGCGUGGGGCAGC
rnacentral:rRNA from 1 species